rnacentral:lncRNA from 1 species
GAGCGCGUUCACCACUUGCGUCAGGCUACAUGAUGGAAAAUGUGUUUGGAUUGCAGGAGGAGAGGUGAGUGGUUAUGGAGGUUGUUGGCGGCGGCUAGGGUAGCAGGAGAGAGAACAUAGCGAUUUCACCUAUCUGUCCCAAACCCAACUACUUGAAGAGAACAACAAUGCAAGUAAGGUUGUAUCGCGUGUUUCCUAUAUGCUUCCUUCAAAGAUAAAAUCAAACAAACAUCUUUCUUAUUGUCAUCUACUUUUUCCAAUUUCCUGCAAACAAUAAAAAUUGGAUUGAUCACUUACAAGUUACAACAAACAAAAGUACAUCAAGAGUAGUUAGGUUGGACAUCCUAUGCUUCUCUUUACAAAGAAGAAUGCACCAAUAAAAGGGGGCCGUGAGAAUUUCAAAACUCAUUCUUAAUUUCUCUUUAUAAAACCACCAUAAGUUUCAACAUUUAACAUAUCAUCUCAACCUCUCUAACAACUCAUUACCAUAACUCACCUCCUUUACUAAAAUCAUUCAUAAGCACACAUGGUUUCAUUUCCU